rnacentral:lncRNA from 1 species
UUUUUUUUUUUAAAGUACUAAAAAAAAAACAAGUUUUGUAAUUAGGGGGAAAAUAAAUACAUGUGUACCUUACAGGUUGUAUAAAGUACAGGAGAUUAUUAAGUCAUCCAGAAAAAAAGCAUUAACAUUUCUUAAGCCCCUUUGGCAGGGGUGGGAAUGAGUAGAGAUUUUUUUCUCUCUUGAGUGAAGUAACAUUUAGUUGAAUUGAGGGAGUAAAGUAAGAUUUUUGUCUCCUUUUCCUUGCAGGGAUAUAACUGGUGCCAUGACCGGAAUGUAGUAACGAUUUUCAGUGCUCCAAACUAUUGUUAUCGUUGUGGUAACCAAGCUGCAAUCAUGGAACUUGACGAUACUCUAAAAUACUCUUUCUUGCAGUUUGACCCAGCACCUCGUAGAGGCGAGCCACAUGUUACUCGUCGUACCCCAGACUACUUCCUGUAAUGAAAUUUUAAACUUGUACAGUAUUGCCAUGAACCAUAUAUCGACCUAAUGGAAAUGGGAAGAGCAACAGUAACUCCAAAGUGUCAGAAAAUAGUUAACAUUCAAAAAACUUGUUUUCACAUGGACCAAAAGAUGU